rnacentral:rRNA from 1 species
GUCCACGCCGUAAACGAUGAGAACUAGGUGUCGUGGGUGUUGACCCCUGCGGUGCCGUAGCUAACGCAUUAAGUUCUCCGCCUGGGAAGUACGGUCGCAAGACUAAAACUCAAAGGAAUUGACGGGGCCCGCACAAGCGGUGGAGCAUGUGGUUUAAUUCGACGCAACGCGCAGAACCUUACCUGGUCUUGACAUCCUUCGAAGCUGCCCGAAAAGGUGGCGUGCCCGCAAGGGAACGGAGAGACAGGUGCUGCAUGGCUGUCGU